rnacentral:misc_RNA from 1 species
UGAAGGAUGCGGCCAGUGUGG